ACGCUCGACACCUACGGGGGCAGCAGUGGGGAAUAUUGCACAAUGGGGGAAACCCUGAUGCAGCAACGCCGCGUGAAGGAAGACGGUUUUCGGAUUGUAAACUUCUGUUCUUAGUGAAGAUAGUGACGGUAGCUAAGGAGCAAGCCACGGCUAACUACGUGCCAGCAGCCGCGGUAAUCUGAGGCGGGCUGGCAAGGC
rnacentral:rRNA from 1 species